AUUGAACGCUGGCGGCAGGCCUAACACAUGCAAGUCGAACGGUAACAGGGAUCAGCUUGCUGAUUCGCUGACGAGUGGCGGACGGGUGAGUAAUGUCUGGGAAACUGCCUGAUGGAGGGGGAUAACUACUGGAAACGGUAGCUAAUACCGCAUAACGUCGCAAGACCAAAGAGGGGGACCUUCGGGCCUCUUGCCAUCGGAUGUGCCCAGAUGGGAUUAGCUAGUAGGUGGGGUAACGGCCCACCUAGGCGACGAUCCCUAGCUGGUCUGAGAGGAUGACCAGCCACACUGGAACUGAGACACGGUCCAGACUCCUACGGGAGGCAGCAGUGGGGAAUAUUGCACAAUGGGCGCAAGCCUGAUGCAGCCAUGCCGCGUGUAUGAAGAAGGCCUUCGGGUUGUAAAGUACUUUCAGCGGGGAGGAAGGGAGUAAAGUUAAUACCUUUGCUCAUUGACGUUACCCGCAGAAGAAGCACCGGCUAACUCCGUG
rnacentral:rRNA from 1 species